AGAGUUUGAUCAUGGCUCAGGACGAACGCUGGCGGCGUGCUUAACACAUGCAAGUCGAACGGACCCUGCUUUUGUGGGGUGCUCGAGUGGCGAACGGGUGAGUAACACGUGAGUAACCUGCCCUUGACUUUGGGAUAACUUCAGGAAACUGGGGCUAAUACCGGAUGGAGCUCCUGCUGCAUGGUGGGGGUUGGAAGUUUCGGCGGUUGGGGAUGGACUCGCGGCUUAUCAGCUUGUUGGUGGGGUAGUGGCUUACCAAGGCUUUGACGGGUAGCCGGCCUGAGAGGGUGACCGGCCACAUUGGGACUGAGAUACGGCCCAGACUCCUACGGGAGGCAGCAGUGGGGAAUAUUGCACAAUGGGCGGAAGCCUGAUGCAGCAACGCCGCGUGCGGGAUGACGGCCUUCGGGUUGUAAACCGCUUUCGCCUGUGACGAAGCGUGAGUGACGGUAAUGGGUAAAGAAGCACCGGCUAACUACGUGCCAGCAGCCGCGGUGAUACGUAGGGUGCGAGCGUUGUCCGGAUUUAUUGGGCGUAAAGGGCUCGUAGGUGGUUGAUCGCGUCGGAAGUGUAAUCUUGGGGCUUAACCCUGAGCGUGCUUUCGAUACGGGUUGACUUGAGGAAGGUAGGGGAGAAUGGAAUUCCUGGUGGAGCGGUGGAAUGCGCAGAUAUCAGGAGGAACACCAGUGGCGAAGGCGGUUCUCUGGGCCUUUCCUGACGCUGAGGAGCGAAAGCGUGGGGAGCGAACAGGCUUAGAUACCCUGGUAGUCCACGCUGUAAACGGUGGGUACUAGGUGUGGGGUCUUCCACGGGUUCCGUGCCGUAGCUAACGCUUUAAGUACCCCGCCUGGGGAGUACGGCCGCAAGGCUAAAACUCAAAUGAAUUGACGG
rnacentral:rRNA from 1 species